AUGGCGAUUGCAUAAUGAUGAUGAUGUUGGUGUAACUUCCGCUGGAUUGGCAUAUGUGUUAUUAAACAUUUAACCUCCACCACCCAAUUAUAAUGAACGGCCACAGAAAUUAAAGUAUUACAAAAAAUAAGUACUCAAUAAGCACGAGCUAAAGCAAUGGCAAUGACGCCUGCCCGUCUACCCAAUCACCAUCCAUCAUCCAUCCAUCCAACCAGUUCGAACCAGUUCAGUUUCAACGGUUGAAACUUCAAACUUUCCGGACGCGCAACGGGUAGCAGUUGGGGUCUUCGCGGCUGCAUUCCACUGGUUGUUAUACGAAAAUCUUUCGAAGUUCUAAUCUCCCGCGCGUUUUGUCUUGCAAUUUUUGAGCAUAGCGAGAACGUACGCCGUGCUGUCCAGUGAUAAGAGCUGUUGAGCGCAGCAGAGCUCCCAGAGUACUGUGGUGGACAACGUUUCUUUGUUCUCUGGCUUUCAAGUUUAAGGGGUGCUUGGACUAUCUUGCAUCGGUGGAUAUGAAAAUAGUGGUAACCUACCCUACGAAACAGCUGUUUGCACAUAAGCUUAACAGUUCCCUGUGAGAUGCUGUGAAAGUCAGCAGGGAAGUGCGAUGUAGAAGAAACGACUGCCAGAAGCUUGCUAAGGAACCGCACAACCUGUGUGGGCAGCAGACAAAAUAUUCAUCAAACGGUACAAAACUAGUAUUUUUGUGCUUUGUCGUUUUGAGACAUCCUUGGUAUUGUAUGGAGAACAGCGUGACUAUGUCAUUCCGUCUUACUUCACCCAAACAGCUAUCUGGUAGUAGUGCAAGAUUUGAGUUCCUAAAAGGUUUAUUCACUGAAGUCACCUCAGCGCCAUACUAUAGGUCCCGCAAUGUUUAGUCCUUGCAUUUGUUUGCUGCAUUAUGCUUUUUAGGUGACUAUUAACACCAAAAAUAUGGAAAUUGCUCAGACAUUCUACAAAUCACAGAGCAACAAGUUUUAAACACCAGAUAUACGGUGAGUAUAAUAUGGGUAACAGCUUGACUGAAAUCUACAAUAGGGCCGAUGGCAGCAAAUCUGCCUGCUAGCGACAGUGGCGGUCUCCUGCGGAUGACGUCAUGUGAAUAAACUUGUAUACUACUUGUACGUACUUAUAAUAUUUGACGUGGUGAUACAGCCCUUGCUUUGUAUUGUCUUUUAUAAUAUACACAGUGUUUAUUUUUAUCCUGUACAGAAGCUUUGCACCAAAGUUAUGAGAGCAGCACAGAUGUUGUUUUAGCGUAAUGGAGUGAUGGAAGUGCUGCACCAAUCAUGGAGUGCUUAGCAGUCGCCUGCUCGACCAGCCACAGUGAGUCAUUGGAGGCAGUGCUACAGCACCAACAAUCACUCGUUGGAAGAAAGGAAUGAGGUGGCCAUCAACACCCUGCUGCCAGUUCAACACUCCUCAGUCAAAACACAAGACGCCUGCUUGGCGGCAAAGUCAAUCCAGUUUUAGACAAGAGUUUUGUACCGUAGACUUCGUGUGUGGCUUACUGCGAAUAAAUGUUUAUGCUGAGAUCCGUGUUGCUAUCAAUUAUAUCAUAUUUCUGCAUGAAUGCAUGCCAGGACGGUAGCAGGACUAGUCAUGGUCUAAAGUAGGUCUAAAGGUGGCUAAAGUAGGGUACAGGAAAUGUAUAACCCUAGACCUGUCGCCUGAAUGGAGGGAUAAAAUUGGUCUAGCUGUAGACUUCAUGUCUAAUACAUGGUUAAGUGUCUGACCCUGUUCCAGACAUCCAGGUCAAAAGAGUGUCUAAAUCAUGGCUAGGUACAUAGACAUCGGAUGUCUAGGGCUAGGUGGCGUAACGUUAGACGUGUUAUUUGACGUCUAGUGGAGGGAUACUAGACAUUUGGUCUAAUUGCGUAGACAUUCUAUAGACAUUCCUUAUCUCUUUUUUUAGACGUCAUUUAGACGUUUACUAGCCCACCAUGUGCUCCCUGGGUUUCCUUUUCUAUUCUUUUUACUUGACGAAGUACUUUCGCAGGUGCACAUCGAACGGAAGUCUUCGCAAGAGAUGUCGUGGAUGAAUGCAAAAACGACGACAACGACAGUGUGAGGAGCCUAUGAGCCCGCCAGUGGAGCCCGUUCGCUUUUCAACAAUACAGUGACAACAUCAACAGCGUGCACAUCGAACGGAAGUCUUCGCAAGAGAUGUCGUGGAUGAAUGCAUAAACGACGACAACGACAGUGUGACUAGGCUACGAGCCCGACACUGGAGCACGAUCGUAUUUCAACAAUACAGUCACAACAUCAACAGCGUUAGUUACGCAUUUACAUUCAAUAAAUCGUGGACGUCAAAAUAGAAAAUUCCGUUAAAGAUUUUAACAUUAAAGUCGUGAAUUCACUAUUCUUUUCCUUUUCUAUUCUUUUUACUUGACGAAGUACUUUCGCAGGUGCACAUCGAACGGAAGUCUUCGCAAGAGAUGCCGUGGGUAAAUGCAUAAACGACGGCAACGACAGUGUGACUAGGCUACGAGCCCGACACUGGAGCACGAUCGUAUUUCAACAAUACAGUCACAACAUCAACAGCGUUAGUUACGC